rnacentral:tRNA from 1 species
UGAGCAGAAGCCAAUAGGUAUGGCAUUUAGCUGUUAACUAGAAUUAUAUGGGAUCGAAGCCCAUCUGCUCAG